ACUAUUUUGGCAGAAUUAAGUGUAACAGAUUUAGGCUCUGUAAAUAUGAUUAUUAUCAUAGAUAGUA
rnacentral:tRNA from 1 species